GGUACAUGUAUAUCUUUCAGCUUUUUACAUUAAUACAGACAACUUUCACUGUAAAAUAUGAUUUCAGAAAAACAGAAAAUUAGAACAAACAAGAAUGUGUCCAAAGUACACGGAUGCCCCACUCGCACUAUCCUUUUCCAUGUUCCAUGGACCGUGAAAUUGGGUAAUAAUCUAAUUUGGCAUUAAAAUUAGAAAGAUUAUACUAUAGGGAACAUAUGUACUAAGUUUCAAGUUGAUUGGACUUCAAUUUUAUCAAAAACUACCUUGACCAAAAACUUUAACCUGAAACUCCCACUUUCAUUUUCUAUGUUCAGUGGACCAUGAAAUUGGGGUCAAAAGUCUAAUUUGGCUUUACAAUUAGAAAGAUCAUAUCAUAAGCAACAAGUGUACUAAGUUUCAAGUUGAUUGGACUUCAGCUUCAUCAAAAACUACCUUGACCAAAAACUUUAACCUGAAACUCCCACUUUCAUUUUCUAUGUUCAGUGGACCAUGAAAUUGGGGUCAAAAGUCUAAUUUGGCUUUAAAAUUAGAAAGAUCAUAUCAUAAGCAACAAGUGUACUAAGUUUCAAGUUGAUUGGACUUCAGUUUCAUCAAAAACUACUUUGACCAAAAACUUUAACCUGAACGGACGGACGAACGAACGGAACCACAGACGGACGGACGAACGGAGCCACAGACCAGAAAACAUAAUGCCCCUCUACUAUCG
rnacentral:lncRNA from 1 species